CGGAAAUCAACAUGGCGGAUUUUUGACUUUUUUACCAAUUUUCAAAGAAAUGGCAAAACCUAAGAAGAAACCGGGUCUGACACUUGGGGAAAAAAAAUGCAUAAAGAAGUAAAACAAUAAUGUCAAUAUUAAAGUAACUUUCCAAUUGCCGCAAUCCGUCAAGAAAUCACCAGCGAGAAAACAAACAAAAAGACUGCUUACGCCAUCUAAAUCCCCUCUGUACAACAUAUCUCCAGCAAAUAAAAAAAUAAAGUAAUUUGGUCACCUGUCGUUUCCAAAAAACAAUUUACAAUAACUCCCGAUAAAAGUCUUCAAGGUCACCUUUUGGACAUGUAGAGGAAAACUGUGAUACCAGAGACGAUGUACAACACUUCUUAAACACUGAAUUACUGUGUGAAGAAAUGUGAAGAAAUCACAUGUUCGAUACUGCAGUUCAGAACGGAGCUCUGUGUAUAAGGUGGGAGAAGGCUAGGACGAAUGAAUCUAAAAUGCUACCGAUGAAGAGGAUGGGACUGGACUGAGAAUUGCAUAUGAAUGAGAAAAGAAAUAGUUACGAUAUCAGUACCGAAAAUAAAAGGAAGAUGAUAUAAAUACAAUUGGAGAAAAGAAAAAUUAUUUGAGUACUUAAUGUGAAAGGGAAUGUGAUAUAAAUAUACACUAAAUGAGACGAGGAAUUUAAUACAAAUACGGGAAGUGAAAUAGAUACUGAGUGAAGAAAGAACCGAUGUUUU
rnacentral:lncRNA from 1 species